rnacentral:rRNA from 2 species
UACGGAGGGAGCAAGCGUUACUCGGAAUUAUUGGGCGUAAAGGGCGCGUAGGCGAUCUGAAAAGUUCUGUGUGAAAGCCCACAUGUUAACUGUGGAAGUGCACAGAAAACUGUUGGAUUUGAGUUCAGGAGAGGAAGGCAGAAUUCCCGGUGUAGCGGUGAAAUGCGUAGAGAUCGGGAGGAAUACCAGUGGCGAAGGCGGCCUUCUGGACUGACACUGACGCUGAGGCGCGAAAGCCAGGGGAGCAAACGGG